rnacentral:tRNA from 1 species
GCUGAUAUGGUGGAAUGGCAGACACGAUAGAUUUAGGAUCUAUUGCUUAACAGCGUGCAGGUUCGACUCCUGUUAUCAGCA